UUUUUUUUUUUUUUUUUUUGGUCAAAUUUCUCAUUUUGUUUCUGGAUUGUUUUCCAAAUGUCAUUUAGUUUUCUAUGUGUGCUUUUUGUGAUUCCCUGAACUUCUUUAGUAGGAUUAUUCUGAAUUCUCUGCCAGAUGUUUCGUAGAUCUUCAGUUCUUCUGGGUCCAUUGCUACAGCUUUGUUAUCUCUUUUGAUGGUGUCGUUUUCCCGUGAGUUUUCACAGUCCUUGCACUUCACGUCGAUCCCUGUGCGAUUGAGAAGACAGUCACCUUUGCCAGUUUUUCAAGUAUUCUUCGGUGGUGUCAGAGCUUUGCUACUUAGUAUUGGAACUUAAACUCUGGUCUGUUGUUUCUUCCUGUUCUGAGUGAGACUUGCGCUGAGCACUGGAACUUAAACAUUGCCCUGGAACUAUCGUGCUGCUCUGUCAACAUUUCCCAGUCCGGGGAAGAUGUAAGUGGGUAUCAGAACUUAAUCUUGAGCUUUUUGUUGUUUCCAGGCCAGGGGAGGGCUCUCGAGUAUACCUGGGCUCUGUGGAAAAUGCAGCCAGGAUUUGGACCUCCCUGUGGAUUGUGCCAGCGAGUCCCUUCACCAUGGUGUCCCCACUGAUCAGAGCUCAGAGUACACCAGUGCACCUGUUGCUACAAUCAGCACUUGGCUUUGUGUCCCCAGUUCACCCCAGGUCAUUCAGCCAUCCUGGCAUUCCCAGUGGUUCCUGUGGGACGGGGCCAGAGUGGGCGUCCCAUGAAGAUUACCAGAUCAGUGGGGAGAUAAAAUGUUCACCUCUAAUUCCCUGCUGUCACCUUGGAAAACAUGGAUCUAGAGACAUUCUCUGAGUGGCAUUAUACCCACUGGGGGUGGUGGCACAGUCCAAAUUGAUUGUUUCUCUUACCAGUUCUGGCCUCUUUCAAUUCUGUGGACCCAGGGUUUUUCAGCUUCUCCCCAAAGUUCUGGUGAAUUUAGGCUGGCGUUCUUGUCUUUGAAUAGCUGGAAUAUAUUUCUGUGGGGGAAAUGGUUCCGGAGAAUCUUCUAUUCUGCCAUCUUGUUGAGCUCCCCCAAAACGUCCCCUUCUCCUACAUUGGCACACACUUUAGUUUCAUGUUGACUGAUGAGUUUUGAGCAACGUAUAUAAAGAAACAUUGUUCUCAAAGGAAACUGGUGAAAGUUUGGGGGUGCCUCCAUUUUGCACGUUGUUCAUCACACAGGUAGAAUACACUUACGUGACUACCCGUAUCCCUUCUCCAGCCUCCCUGCCCCACAAAUCUAUAAAUCCCAAAUUUAUUUAUAAUAAACAAUUUUGACAGAUUAGGUAUAUCCUGCUGGAAAUAGGACUAGUUCACUGAGUGUAACGUUUCUACAGAGCAGUCUGAUUGAGGUCUUCCGCGUCUUUGCAAGGUGCCCUGGUUGAGAAUAUUGUUUGUGCAGGCAUUCCUGUGGGGAAAGAGUGAGUUGCAGGCUUGAUGCUAACAUUCCCUGUGUGGUGCCUUUUGACCAACACCAGCCUGUCAACGCCUGAGGCAGAGGCCUCAGGAAUGAGAAAACAGCACUAGAAGCCUGACUGUCUACUUAGUGGCUUGGCAAGUGUCAACAAGUUAAUCUCCGUGACUGGUGACUUAGUUGGAGUUCCACCCAAAGCAGAUCCCAAGACAAGGAUUUAGUGCAAGUAAUUCAUGUAGGCGCCAUCCAGAGGAACACGAGAGAAAGUGGGGAAUUUAGACAGGGAAAGGAGGAAGUUAGCAAAGGGUGAGUGAAGGAGAACAAG
ensembl:lncRNA